rnacentral:rRNA from 1 species
UACAGAGGGUGCAAGCGUUGUUCGGAAUUAUUGGGCGUAAAGGGCGCGUAGGCGGUGCUGUAAGUCUGUAGUGAAAUCUCUGGGCUCAACUCAGAGUCUGCUAUAGAAACUGCAGUGCUGGAGUGUGGGAGAGGUGAGUGGAAUUCCUGGUGUAGCGGUGAAAUGCGUAGAUAUCAGGAGGAACACCGGUGGUGCAGACGGCUCUCUGGACCGUAACUGACGCUGAGACACGAAAGCGUGGGUAGCAAACAGG